rnacentral:misc_RNA from 1 species
GAAAGUAAAAGUCGUAACAAGGUUUCCGUAGGUGAACCUGCGGAAGGAUCAUUAUUGUGUAACCGAGGUGCGAGGGCUGUCGCUGACCCGAAAGGUCGUGCACGCCCGAGUGCCCUCACACACAUCCAUCUCACCCCUAUGUGCACCACCGCGUGGGUCCCCCUUUGGCUUGUUCGGAGGGGGGCUUACGUUUUCACACAAACUUUGUAUGCAGUGUAGAAUGUAUUUUUUGUUUUUGCGAUCACGCAAUCAAUACAACUUUCAACAACGGAUCUCUUGGCUCUC